GACGAACGCUGGCGGCGCGCCUAACACAUGCAAGUCGAACGAGCGAGAGAGAGCUUGCUUUCUCAAGCGAGUGGCAAACGGGUGAGUAACGCGUGAGUAACCUGCCUUUCACAGGGGGAUAACGUUCGGAAACGAACGCUAAUACCGCAUGACAUAGUGAAGUCGCAUGACUAUGCUAUCAAAGAUUUAUCGGUGAAAGAUGGACUCGCGUCCGAUUAGGUAGUUGGUGAGGUAACGGCUCACCAAGCCGACGAUCGGUAGCCGGACUGAGAGGUUGAACGGCCACAUUGGGACUGAGACACGGCCCAG
rnacentral:rRNA from 1 species